UCAGCGCAGCUUUCUAAAUCAGUUUGUGCGAUUGUGUUUCUUCUGCAUUCUGUUUGUAGUUCUGCAGGGCAGUGCCAGCUGUGAGAUUCAAAACCACGGCGGUGUGGUAACGCUCAGACCGCUGCCGGGCUGCGUCUGCCUGCUCAACGACAGAGAGGUCACUGAGCCCUGCAGACUGGCUCAAGGGACGGUGAUCACCUUGGGAGGAGUGCAUAAGUUCCGCUUCAACCACCCAGCCGAGGCAGCCGUCCUCCGGGAGCGCAGACGGGCAAGUGAAGGUGGCCUUACCUGCACCUACAAUGACCUUUGCCCCAUGACACCUGACCACAGUGUCAAAGAAGUGAAUCUCCAAGGCCAGCUGGGUGCCUGUCUCUCCCCCAGUGAGGAGCCUUCUGCUAGGCAGUGUGUGGAGGAGCAGCAGUGCUACGUGGAGAGUUUGCGACAGGAGAUUCAGGCUGAACAAAGAAGGGCUGAGAGAGAGCUGGAGAGGGAGCAGGCUCACCUCCGACAGCAGCACAGUGAGAUCCAGCAGUGGAUUUUGCAGGAGAAACGGCGCCUAACAACUGUAGAGCAGAGAAUCACCCAAGAAUCCGGACUUCAGGCAGACCUUAUAUCCCGCACUCCUCCUGGAGCGAGAGGCAAGUCCGGCGUCCGACUUUCAGGAAGGUCAGACAGUAGAUCGUCUGUCCCACGUCGUAAGGGCCAGGAAGAAGGCGGUGCAGGAGGAGCUACUAAAGCAUCACGCCCUUUGCCGUUCCGAUAG
rnacentral:lncRNA from 1 species